AACGUAGGGGACAAGCGUUAUCCGGAUUUACUGGGCGUAAAGCGCCCGUAGGCGGCUUUGUAAGUUGGACGUGAAAGCUCCCGGCUUAACUGGGAGAGGCCGUUCAAAACUGUAGAGCUAGAGUGAGGCAGAGGAGUGCGGAAUUCCCGGUGUAGUGGUGGAAUGCGUAGAUAUCGUUUGGAACGCCAAAGGUGAAAACAGACAGCUGGGAGUGUGCUGACGCUGAGACACGAAAGCCAGGGGAGCGAACGGG
rnacentral:rRNA from 1 species